GAUGAACGCUGGUGGCGUGCUUAACACAUGCAAGUCGAACGGUGAAGCCAAGCUUGCUUGGUGGAUCAGUGGCGAACGGGUGAGUAACACGUGAGCAACCUGCCCUGGACUCUGGGAUAAGCGCUGGAAACGGCGUCUAAUACUGGAUAUGAGACGUGAUCGCAUGGUCAACGUUUGGAAAGAUUUUUCGGUCUGGGAUGGGCUCGCGGCCUAUCAGCUUGUUGGUGAGGUAAUGGCUCACCAAGGCGUCGACGGGUAGCCGGCCUGAGAGGGUGACCGGCCACACUGGGACUGAGACACGGCCCAGACUCCUACGGGAGGCAGCAGUGGGGAAUAUUGCACAAUGGGCGGAAGCCUGAUGCAGCAACGCCGCGUGAGGGAUGACGGCCUUCGGGUUGUAAACCUCUUUUAGCAGGGAAGAAGCGAAAGUGACGUUACCUGCAGAAAAAGCGCCGGCUAACUACGUGCCAGCAGCCGCGGUAAUACGUAGGGCGCAAGCGUUAUCCGGAAUUAUUGGGCGUAAAGAGCUCGUAGGCGGUUUGUCGCGUCUGCUGUGAAAUCCCGAGGCUCAACCUCGGGCCUGCAGUGGGUACGGGCAGACUAGAGUGCGGUAGGGGAGAUUGGAAUUCCUGGUGUAGCGGUGGAAUGCGCAGAUAUCAGGAGGAACACCGAUGGCGAAGGCAGAUCUCUGGGCCGUAACUGACGCUGAGGAGCGAAAGGGUGGGGAGCAAACAGGCUUANAUACCCUGGUAGUCCACCCCGUAAACGUUGGGAACUAGUUGUGGGGACCAUUCCACGGUUUCCGUGACGCAGCUAACGCAUUAAGUUCCCCGCCUGGGGAGUACGGCCGCAAGGCUAAAACUCAAAGGAAUUGACGGGGACCCGCACAAGCGGCGGAGCAUGCGGAUUAAUUCGAUGCAACGCGAAGAACCUUACCAAGGCUUGACAUACACCAGAACGGGCCAGAAAUGGUCAACUCUUUGGACACUGGUGAACAGGUGGUGCAUGGUUGUCGUCAGCUCGUGUCGUGAGAUGUUGGGUUAAGUCCCGCAACGAGCGCAACCCUCGUUCUAUGUUGCCAGCACGUAAUGGUGGGAACU
rnacentral:rRNA from 1 species